GCGGGGGUGCCAGAGUCCGGAAAAUGGGGCGGACUUAAGAUCCGCUGGCCUAGCGCCUACGCAGGUCCAAAUCCUGCCCCCCGCA
rnacentral:tRNA from 1 species